rnacentral:rRNA from 1 species
GGAUUCCCCUAGUAACUGCGAGUGAAGCGGGAAAAGCUCAAAUUUGAAAUCUGGCAGUCUUUUUUUUCUUCUUUGGCUGUCCGAGUUGUAAUCUAGAGAAGUGCUUACCUGCGCUGGACCAUGUGUAAGUCUCCUGGAAUGGAGCGUCGCAGAGGGUGAGAAUCCCGUCUUUGACAUGGACUGCCAGCGUGUUGUGGUGUGCUCUCAAAGAGUCGAGUUGUUUGGGAAUGCAGCUCUAAAUGGGUGGUAAACUCCAUCUAAAGCUAAAUAUUGGCGAGAGACCGAUAGCGAACAAGUACCGUGAGGGAAAGAUGAAAAGGACUUUGGAAAGAGAGUUAAACAGUAUGUGAAAUUGUUGAAAGGGAAACGCUUGAAGUCAGUUAUGUCAGCUCUGGGGAUCAACCUAGCUCUGUUUUGCUGGGUGAUUUUCCUGGUCUGACGGGCCAACAUCAGUCUCGACUGCUGGAAAAGAGCGGGAGGGAAUGUGGCACCUUCGGGUGUGUUAUAGCCCCUCGUCAUAUGCAGCGGCCGGGACUGAGGGACGCAGCGUGCCGUGAAGGCUGGGUUUCGACCACGUUCACGCUUAGGAUGUUGGCUUUUCAAUGGCUUCAAUCGACCCGUCUUGAAACACGGACCAAGGAGUCUAACAUGCCUGCGAGUGUUUGGGUGGGGAAAACCCUUGUGCACAAUGAAAGUGAAAGUCGAGAUCCCUGUCAUGGGGAGCAUCGACGCCCGGACCUGAGCUUUCAGCGACGGAUCCGCGGUGGAGCAUGCAUGUUGGGACCCGAAAGAUGGUGAACUAUGCCUGAAUAGGGCAAAGCCAGAGGAAACUCUGGUGGAGGCUCGUAGCGAUUCUGACGUGCAAAUCGAUCGUCAAAUUUGGGUAUAGGGGCGAAAGACUAAUC